GUGGGGCGUGGCCAAGUGGUAAGGCAGCGGGCUUUGGUCCCGAUAUCGAAGGUUCGAAACCUUUCGUCCCA
rnacentral:tRNA from 1 species